UCCAGCUCUGCUGUUAGGCCUUGGAAUCUGAAUCCUUUAGCUGGCUUGUCGUUCUCUAGUUGAGUUACAGAAGUCUUCGAUCGCUCGUGACAAGCUUCUUCUGCGUCUCUUUCCUUCUGUCUCACCUCAGAAAUGGUCCAUGCACCAUGCAGGCUCAGUCUCUUCAGGCCUCGAGCCCUCUUCUUUCGGGCACAAGUGAGUAUUGCCAAUGUUAUGUAUUUCUUGGUCCUUUUGGGAUCCCUCACAUGAGGUCAAGCAACUAUCAAUCGAACAAUCCGCAAUAUGGGUUGUUUGUGUGUGCGGGGUGCCCAAACACGCCAGUCUGUUCAACUCAGAAAAGGUGGAGUUGAGGCAUUCAGUGGAAACACUAGAGACCAAUUCAGAGAGUUGCAUUUUGGCUGCUUCCAAUCCCGCAGAACCCAGAUUCUGUCUUCUGAGAGUCUCUUGUGCCUUCUCUAGCACCGAUUGUAAGUAUUUUCCCUGUGCCUCUAUUCUUAGCUGUAAGUGCUGCUGCACCUAUUUCAAUCCAGAACAAAAACCAAAAACCAAAAAGGAAAUAUAUUCAGAAUAUCAUCUGUACUACAUAUAAUGUUAAUCCCCAAGUGCAAAGAAGUUACAUGCAAGCCAUUCAAAAUUAUUGAACCAUGUUAUAUGAAAGGA